GGUAGCCUUCGGCGGCCAGGAGCGUGCCGUGCUCAUCGAGUACGGCUUUCCCGUUGCCGGUAAUGUGCAGGGUUUGAAUCCCUGCGGCCGCCA
rnacentral:tRNA from 1 species